rnacentral:rRNA from 1 species
UACGUAGGUGGCAAGCGUUGUCCGGAUUUACUGGGUGUAAAGGGCGCGUAGGCGGGAAUACAAGUCAGAUGUGAAAUCUGGGGGCUUAACCCUCAAACUGCAUUUGAAACUGUGUUUCUUGAGUGAUGGAGAGGCAGGCGGAAUUCCUAGUGUAGCGGUGAGAUGCGUAGAUAUUAGGAGGAACACCAGUGGCGAAGGCGGCCUGCUGGACAUUAACUGACGCUGAGGCGCGAAAGCGUGGGGAGCAAACAGG